UACGGGGGGUGCGAGCGUUGUCCGGAAUCAUUGGGCGUAAAGCGCGCGUAGGCGGCCCUGUAAGUCCGUUGUGAAAGUCAAAGGCUCAACCUUUGAAAGCCGAUGGAUACUGCAGGGCUAGAGUCCGGAAGAGGCGAGUGGAAUUCCUGGUGUAGCGGUGGAAUGCGCAGAUAUCAGGAGGAACACCAAUAGCGAAGGCAGCUCGCUGGGACGGUACUGACGCUGAGGUGCGAAAGCGUGGGGAGCAAACAGG
rnacentral:rRNA from 1 species